rnacentral:rRNA from 1 species
UACGUAGGGGGCAAGCGUUAUCCGGAUUUACUGGGUGUAAAGGGAGCGUAGACGGCAUAACAAGUCUGAUGUGAAAGGCUGGGGCUUAACCCCGGGACUGCAUUGGAAACUGUUAAGCUUGAGUGCCGGAGGGGUAAGCGGAAUUCCUAGUGUAGCGGUGAAAUGCGUAGAUAUUAGGAGGAACACCAGUGGCGAAGGCGGCUUACUGGACGGUAACUGACGUUGAGGCUCGAAAGCGUGGGGAGCAAACAGG